UAUGGAUGAAGGAGACCUCAUGGUUGAAGAGUUCGAUAGCGAGUCCGAUGUCUAGAGGAGUGCUAGUCAGUGUUGUGAUCCUGGAGUCUAUCGCUGUAUUUUUACACCGCUUCCGCCACCGCGAAUAAAUCAUCAAGCCUCACUCUGAUGCUUGGCGCGUAGUAAUACUUGUCAUGUCACAUUACUCUGAUGUGACAUGCCCCUUUUGUUACGAGCAGUAGAGUUAUCCUAUUACCACUUGGACAUGUUGUAAUAAAUUGUAGAGCAACCUCUGCUCUACCUGUUUAAUAUAAAGUACUACUG
rnacentral:lncRNA from 1 species